AAGUCGUAACAAGGUUUCCGUAGGUGAACCUGCGGAAGGAUCAUUAUUGAAUAAUUCUGAUGAGUUGUCGCUGGCCUUUGGGCAUGUGCACACUUGUCACCUUUAUUUCUCCACCUGUGCACCUCUGUAAACCUGGAAAUAACUUGUCUUGAUCUCGAUCAAGGAUUUGGAGACUGAUGUGGUUCACGCUCGUCUGACUCCUACAUUUCCAGGUCUACGUUUUUUCAUACACACUAUAAAUGUUCAGAAUGUCUAUUUGUUGUGGCCUUUGUUGCCCAUACAAUGUCUUAUACAACUUUCAGCAACGGAUCUCUUGGCUCUC
rnacentral:misc_RNA from 1 species